rnacentral:rRNA from 1 species
AGUCACUGACAUUAGAUACCCCGGUAGUCCCAGCCGUAAACUAUGCGCGUUAGGUGUACUGGUGACCACGAGUCACCGGGGUGCCGGAGAGAAGUUGUUAAGUCUGCUACUUGGGGAGUACGUCCGCAAGGAUGAAACUUAAAGGAAUUGGCGGGGGAGCACCGCAACGGGAGGAGCGUGCGGUUUAAUUGGAUUCAACACCGUAAACUCACCAGGGAAGACUGUUACAUGAAGGCCGAGAUGAAGACUCUGCUAGAUUUUCAG